ACGGGUGAGUAACACGUAUCCAACCUGCCGUCUACUCUUGGACAGCCUUCUGAAAGGAAGAUUAAUACAAGAUGGCAUCAUGAGUUCACAUGUUCACAUGAUUAAAGGUAUUCCGGUAGACGAUGGGGAUGCGUUCCAUUAGAUAGUAGGCGGGGUAACGGCCCACCUAGUCUUCGAUGGAUAGGGGUUCUGAGAGGAAGGCCCCCCACAUUGGAACUGAGACACGGUCCAA
rnacentral:rRNA from 1 species